rnacentral:tRNA from 1 species
GGUGGCUCAGUGGCAGAGUACUUGCCUUGCAUGCAUGAGGCCCUGGGUUCGAUUCCUUAGCACCA